GAUGAACGCUGGCGGCGUGCCUAAUACAUGCAAGUCGAGCGAACAGACGAGGAGCUUGCUCCUCUGACGUUAGCGGCGGACGGGUGAGUAACACGUGGAUAACCUACCUAUAAGACUGGGAUAACUUCGGGAAACCGGAGCUAAUACCGGAUAAUAUAUUGAACCGCAUGGUUCAAUAGUGAAAGACGGUUUUGCUGUCACUUAUAGAUGGAUCCGCGCCGCAUUAGCUAGUUGGUAAGGUAACGGCUUACCACGGCAACGAUGCGUAGCCGACCUGAGAGGGUGAUCGGCCACCCUGGAACUGGGCCACGGUCCAGGCUACUACGGGAGGGCGCAGUAGGGAAUCUUCCGCAAAGGGCGGAAGCCUUACGGAGCAACGCCACGUGAGUUAUAAAAGUCUUCGGAUCGUAAAACUCUGUUAUUAGGGAAGAACCAAUGUGUAAGUAACUAUGCACGUCUUGACGGUACCUAAUCAGAAAGCCACGGCUAACUACGUG
rnacentral:rRNA from 1 species